UGGCGCGUAGCUCAAGUGGUAGAGCGGCGGUUUUACACACCGUAGGUUGCGGGUUCGACUCCUGCCGUGCCAA
rnacentral:tRNA from 1 species